rnacentral:rRNA from 1 species
AGUGAACGCUGGCGGUAGGCCUAACACAUGCAAGUCGAACGGCAGCACAGUAAGAGCUUGCUCUUACGGGUGGCGAGUGGCGGACGGGUGAGGAAUACAUCGGAAUCUACUUUUUCGUGGGGGAUAACGUAGGGAAACUUACGCUAAUACCGCAUACGACCUACGGGUGAAAGCAGGGGAUCUUCGGACCUUGCGCGAUUGAAUGCGCCGAUGUCGGAUUAGCUAGUUGGCGGGGUAAAGGCCCACCAAGGCGACGAUCCGUAGCUGGUCUGAGAGGAUGACAAGCCACACUGGAACGGGGACACGGUCCAGACUCCUACGGGAGGCAGCAGUGGGGAAUAUUGGACAAUGGGCGCAGGCCUGAUCCAGCCAUACCGCGUGGGUGAAGAAGGCCUUCGGGUUGUAAAGCCCUUUUGUUGGGAAAGAAAAGCAGCAGGUUAAUACCCCGCUGUUCUGACGGUACCCAAAGAAUAAGCACCGGCUAACUUCGUG